rnacentral:rRNA from 1 species
UACGACCUCUAAUCGGACGGGAUUACCCGCUGAAUUUAAGCAUAUAACUAAGCGGUGGAAAAGAAACUAACGAGGAUUUCCCUAGUAACGGCGAGUGAAAGGGAAUAGAGUCCAGCGUCGAAGCUCGGCGCCCGCAACACGUACGGCGGCGUCCGAGCGAUGUGACGUUAGGGAAAAGGCGUCGUUUCCGGCGUCGCGUUCGUUCAAGUCUCUUUGAUCGGGGCCUUCUGUCCGAAGAGGAUGAAAGACCCGUACGACGAGCGCGACGUCUCACUCGGGCGACCGAGUGGGCUCGACCGGAACUGUCGAUUCCCCGAGAGUCGGGUUGCUUGAGAGUGCAGCCCAAAGCGGGAGGUAAACUCCUUCCAAGACUGAGAGCAAUACUGCCGCGAGUCCGAUAGCGAACAAGUACCGUGAGGGAAAGUUGUUUAGAACUUUGAAGAGAGAGUUCAAGAGAACGUGAAACCGCUCGUAGAGAAACGGGUAGGACCUCGAAGGUGCGAGCCAAGUUGGCGGGAACGGGAUUCAGUCGACGUCGAGUCGCGGCCAUCGGCGGCGAGCGUCAGCGUCGGUCGACCGUCAAGGUCCGGCCGGUGCGAGCUCGUCGUCGUAGUCGGCGGCCACGCUCGGUCGGCGCACUUCCCGAAUAGAGUCCCGCCCUCGGAGCACGCCGCAACCGGUUCGACGGCCGCAAAGAGGCUCCCGGCCCGGACAGGUGCCCGCGCGCAAAUUGUCGUUACUCUCGGGUGACGGCCUCGGCCCUCACGGGCGGUUUGCCGCGGCGUUACAGUCCGGGUGGGCGUCGUUUAGUCGGCGGUUCGUCGGACCGUGGAUCGAUAGAUUUUAUCGCUCGCGCGUUUAAAUACGCGUCUUUGACUGUCGGUCGCGAUGCCGUCGUCACGGCGUCUGGUCUCCGGUCUCGUGCCGGGACCUUCGUCGGUCGAUCGUCCUCGACUCUCGAUCAGACAAGGGCAGUUUGGAGACACAUUCUGCGAGCUUUCGGUUGGCGGCGAGUAGGUCGGUUCCCUACCCGACCCGUCUUGAAACUCGGACCAAGGAGUCUAACGUACGCGCGAGUUUUCGAGUUGUCGAAACUCUAUAUAUCGUUGUGUCGAGAAGAAGCGAAAUGAAAGUAAAUUACCUGACGACCGUCAAACGUCGUCUGGCACGAUCCCGUUGCCGCCUUUCGGGGCGGCUCGGGCGCAGUGCCGGCCCGUCCACGUCCGCCUAAUCAGACGGCGGGACGGAGUUUGAGCGCGGGCGUUGGGACCCGAAAGAUGGUGAACUAUGCUUGGACAGGACGAAGCCGGAGGAAACUCUGGUGGAGGUUCGAAGCGAUUCUGACGUGCAAAUCGAUCGUCAGAUCUGAGUAUAGGGGCGAAAGACUAAUCGAACCAUCUAGUAGCUGGUUCCUUCCGAAGUUUCCCUCAGGAUAGCUGGCGCUCGAUCGCAGUUUCAUGCGGUAAAGCGAAUGAUUAGAGGCAUACUGGGGCCGAAACGGCCUCGACCUAUUCUCAAACUUUAAAUGUGUGAGAGGCUCGGCCUUCUCGAAUUGUGAGGCUCGAGCACUGAAUGCGAGCGGCCAAGUGGGCCAUUUUUGGUAAGCAGAACUGGCGAUGCGGGAUGAACCGAAAGGCGAGUUACGGUGCCCGACGCGACGCUUAUGAGACCCCAUGAAAGGCGUUAGUUGCUACAGACAGCAGGACGGUGGCCAUGGAAGUCGGAAUCCGCUAAGGAGUGUGUAACAACUCACCUGCCGAAGCAACUAGCCCUGAAAAUGGAUGGCGCUUCAGCGUCGAACCUAAACUCGGCCGUCGGGGCAAAGUGUCGAUUGAAUUGAAAGAAAUCGUAAAACACGCUUCGACGUGUAGGAAGGUCGCGGUGAUUGGCGCAGAAGGUGUCCGGCGCAGGCCGGCCCGGAGCUGUCACCGGCGCAGAUCUUGGUGGUAGUAGCAAAGAUACGAGCGAGAUCCUCGUAGGCUGAAGUGGAGAAGGGUUCCACGCGAACAGCGGUUGAACGUGGGUCAGUCGAUCCUAAAGUCGACGAGAAAUCCGUUUAAAGAGAAGCGUUAAUUUGAGAUCGAAAGAUUUGAACGAUUGCUUCCUUUCGACUGAAAGGGAAUCGGGUUAAUAUUCCCGAACCUGGUCGUGGAAAUAGCCUCGAUCGUACGGCAUCGGCGGCAACGUCGGUGCUCGUCGGUCGCGGGCAAAUGCGGUAACGCAAACCAACUCGGAAACAUAAGCGAGAGUCCCGGGAGAGUUGUCUUUUCUUCGUAAGGGACGGACUCCCUGGAAUCGGCCUAGCCGGAGAGAGGGACGUUGUUACCCAAAAGCACCGCGGCUCUCGCGGUGUCCGGUGCACUCUCGUUUAUCCUUGAAAAUCCGAGAGAGAGAUUUAUAUAAAUUAUUUUCACGCCAGAUCGUACCCAUAUCCGCAGCAGGUCUCCGAGGUGAACAGCCUCUAGCCAAUAGAACAAUGUAGGUAAGGGAAGUCGGCAAA